AUUGAACGCUGGCGGAAUGCUUUACACAUGCAAGUCGAACGGCAGCACGGACUUCGGUCUGGUGGCGAGUGGCGAACGAGUGAGUAAUACAUCGGAACGUGCCCAGUCGUGGGGGAUAACGUAGCGAAAGCUACGCUAAUACCGCAUACGAUCUAAGGAUGAAAGCGGGGGAUCGCAAGACCUCGCGCGAUUGGAGCGGCCGAUGGCAGAUUAGGUAGUUGGUGGGGUAAAGGCCUACCAAGCCGACGAUCUGUAGCUGGUCUGAGAGGACGACCAGCCAUACUGGGACUGAGACACGGCCCAGACUCCUACGGGAGGCAGCAGUGGGGAAUUUUGGACAAUGGGCGCAAGCCUGAUCCAGCCAUUCCGCGUGCAGGAUGAAGGCCCUCGGGUUGUAAACUGCUUUUGUACAGAACGAAAAGGCUCUGGUUAAUACCUGGGGCUCAUGACGGUACUGUAAGAAUAAGCACCGGCUAACUACGUGCCAGCCGCCGCGGUAAAAC
rnacentral:rRNA from 1 species